UACGGAGGGUGCAAGCGUUAUCCGGAUUCACUGGGUUUAAAGGGUGCGUAGGCGGGCUGGUAAGUCAGUGGUGAAAUCUUCAAGCUUAACUUGGAAACUGCCGUUGAUACUAUCAAUCUUGAAUGUUGUGGAGGUAAGCGGAAUAUGUCAUGUAGCGGUGAAAUGCUUAGAUAUGACAUAGAACACCGAUAGCGAAGGCAGCUUGCUAGACAAUAAUUGACGCUGAGGCACGAAAGCGUGGGGAGCAAACAGG
rnacentral:rRNA from 1 species